rnacentral:rRNA from 1 species
AUUGAACGCUGGCGGCAUGCUUUACACAUGCAAGUCGAACGGUAACAGGCCGCAAGGUGCUGACGAGUGGCGAACGGGUGAGUAAUGCAUCGGAACGUGCCCAGUCGUGGGGGAUAACUACUCGAAAGAGUAGCUAAUACCGCAUACGAUCUAUGGAUGAAAGCGGGGGACCGUAAGGCCUCGCGCGAUUGGAGCGGCCGAUGUCAGAUUAGGUAGUUGGUGGGGUAAAGGCUCACCAAGCCAACGAUCUGUAGCUGGUCUGAGAGGACGAUCAGCCACACUGGGACUGAGACACGGCCCAGACUCCUACGGGAGGCAGCAGUGGGGAAUUUUGGACAAUGGGCGCAAGCCUGAUCCAGCAAUGCCGCGUGCAGGAAGAAGGCCUUCGGGUUGUAAACUGCUUUUGUACGGAACGAAACGGCUCUGGUUAAUACCCGGGGCUAAUGACGGUACCGUAAGAAUAAGCACCGGCGAACUACGU